rnacentral:rRNA from 1 species
AUGCAGUCGAGCGCGGGCAGCGAGCUGAUCCCUUCGGGGUGACGCUCGUGGAACGAGCGGCGGACGGGUGAGUAACACGUGGGCAACCUGCCUGUAAGAUCGGGAUAACUCCGGGAAACCGGGGCUAAUACCGGGUAAUACUUUCUUUCGCAUGAAGGAAAGUUGAAAGAUGGCUUCUCGCUAUCACUUACAGAUGGGCCCGCGGCGCAUUAGCUAGUUGGUGAGGUAACGGCUCACCAAGGCGACGAUGCGUAGCCGACCUGAGAGGGUGAUCGGCCACACUGGGACUGAGACACGGCCCAGACUCCUACGGGAGGCAGCAGUAGGGAAUCUUCCGCAAUGGACGAAAGUCUGACGGAGCAACGCCGCGUGAACGAUGAAGGUCUUCGGAUCGUAAAGUUCUGUUGUUAGGGAAGAACAAGUACCGUGCGAAUAGAGCGGUACCUUGACGGUACCUAACGAGGAAGCCCCGGCUAACUACGUGCCAGCAGCCGCGGUAAUACGUAGGGGGCAAGCGUUGUCCGGAAUUAUUGGGCGUAAAGCGCGCGCAGGCGGUUCCUUAAGUCUGAUGUGAAAGCCCACGGCUCAACCGUGGAGGGUCAUUGGAAACUGGGGAACUUGAGGACAGAAGAGGAGAGUGGAAUUCCACA